CAGUAGCCGCGGUAAUACGUAGGGUGCAAGCGUUAAUCGGAAUUACUGGGCGUAAAGCGUGCGCAGGCGGUUAUAUAAGUCAGAUGUGAAAUCCCCGGGCUCAACCUGGGAACUGCAUUUGAGACUGUAUGGCUAGAGUGUGUCAGAGGGGGGUAGAAUUCCACGUGUAGCAGUGAAAUGCGUAGAUAUGUGGAGGAAUACCGAUGGCGAAGGCAGCCCCCUGGGAUAACACUGACGCUCAUGCACGAAAGCGUGGGGAGCAAACAGGAUUAGAUACCCCGGUAGUCCCUGUCUCUUAUAC
rnacentral:rRNA from 1 species